CUCUUUUUGAUAAUAAUUUAAAGUAGGGCCUGCCCACUGAAAUUUGAAGGGCCGCAGUAUUUUGACUGUGCAAAGGUAGCAUAAUCAUUAGUUUUUUAAUUGAAAGCUUGUAUGAAUGGUUUGAUGAGAAAAUUUCUGUUUCAAUUUUAAUUUAUAGAAUUUUAUUUUUAAGUUAAAAAGCUUAAAUAAAUUUUAAAGACGAGAAGACCCUAUAGAGUUUAACUUAAUUAAGAUUUUAAAUUUUUAGAAUUUACUAUUUUAGAUUUUUAAUAAGUUUUGUUGGGGUGACAAAAAAAUUAAAUUAACUUUUUUUUAAUUAUAACAAUAAUCUUUGAUUUUUUGAUCCAUUAAAAAUGAUUAAAAGAUUAAAUUACCUUAGGGAUAACAGCGUAAUCUUUUUUGAAAGUUCUUAUUGAAAAAAGGGGUUGCGACCUCGAUGUUGGAUUAAAAUUAAUUUUUGGUGUAGAAGCUAAAGAAUUAGGUCUGUUCGACCUUUGAAAUUUUACAUGAUCUGAGUUUAAACCGGUGUGAGCCAGGUUGGUUUCUAUCUUAAAUCUAAAAAAUAUUUUAGUACGAAAGGAUCAAAUAUUUAAUUUAAAAUUUUUAAUAUGAAUAAAAUUUUUAUUUUGGCAGAUUAGUGCGAAGGAUUUAGAAUCUUUUUAUGUAAUUAUAUUACAAAUAAAAAUUGAUUUAAUUUUAAUAUUUUUAAAUUUUUUAAUUUUGUUUGUAGGAGUAUUAGUUGGUGUUGCUUUUUUAACAUUAUUAGAGCGUAAAUUAUU
rnacentral:rRNA from 1 species